GGGAUAGCUCAAACUUUCUAGUUCUGAAAUCCCAUUUAUAAUAAAAUAUGAUAGUUGAACGCCAACCGAGGCUAAUUGUGAUUUCUCACUCUUGGUUUAAGAAAGAGAGAGAGUUUCUUUCAACCAAAGCGAUGUUUGAUCUAGUCCUUUUGGGUUUGCUGGGCCUUGUUCCAUGUCAGCUUCCUCUGCCUUUUGGGCAGUGGAAGGAUUCUGAUGUUCUGGUUUCCCAUUUGACUAUGUGGGACAGCCCUCUCCCUACUAGACUAUGUUGUCAAUAUUGGGCGUUUGUUUUGGUUUAGUUUGUUUGCAGGCGAAAGAUGCAGUGAGAGGGCAGAGAAUGAAGACCUACAUGCCGGUUCGUUUGUGGUGCUGGAUAGAUGGAAAGCGAAAGGUCUUUUGGGGGGAAACUUUUCCUUUUGUUGGACCUCUGCUCACUGUUUUGCCAUAGUUUGGGCUUGCUAUAGGCGUUAAAGGGGUUCGAUUGCUCUAGCCGAAUCGCAUCUCUAGAUCUUGCUUCACACUAGGGCUGGGAAGGUCAUCUUUUUGGCUAGUGGACCAGUGAGCUCUAUGACAACACCCUUUUAACGUUUGUGUAGCUGUGUUUUUAUUUCUCUGUUUGAGGAAGGAGGAACUUUUAUUCUGUAU
rnacentral:misc_RNA from 1 species